GCCCGGGAGACUCGCUCAAGAGGGAAUGUGCGGUGCCCGGCAGGAUUUUAAUUCCGGGUCACCCGCCCCGCCCUGCGGCCUUGGGUAGAGUUUAGCCCCCUCAUCCCGUGUCCCGGGGGUCGCGCGACGUCCCCGAGACGCCCUGGCCGGUACUCGCAGCUCGCGCCUUUCGUUCCGCUCAAGUUCCUCCGCCGCGACCUCAGGACAGGCCGAAGAGGCGCGCACUACUCACGUGUCUUCCAAGUGCUGCUCCAAGGUCGCCUCCAUCCCACCCACCGACCACUCCGGCUCAGAACCCAGCGGCACGGCACGUCCUUCUCCACCACAGGCCUCAGUCACUUGACGCGAGCGGGGCGUGGACCGUAACGGCGCCUCCAAAGGGACAAAAUUGAUCACGGUGCAACGUCCGCGUUCUUUACUGGAAAACAUCACUGCGCUUCCGUCGCACAGAGCCUGACGAAGGCUUGGGCUCCCCGCGCGGUGACCGUCGAGGUGACCUGCACCUGGCUCCAUGGCGGAACCGGCCGGCACGGAUUAUUCCCCUCUCGGGAGAGGUCUGCAGCCGGGCCUCAGUGCUUCAGUUCGUGGCCUGGCAUUUUGUGUCAGUGUUUUUUAACCUUUGGACCCUAGUUCAACCGACUCCGAGACCUAGGGGACAGAUCUUAAGUUUUACAAUAACCCAGGGGUCAGACAGGGUCUGAUCUAGCCUGUGGGGCAAAGUGUCUUCAUCUCUGCAUCCCUAGUGCAACAGAGCAUGACAAAAAUUCAACAAAUAUUUAUUGAAGAGUCUUGAUGUCUUUUGGGAAAGGAACUCUAUGGUUACCUUUACUCUAAGUUAAAAACAACAACAACAACAACAAAAACACAAAACCCUGAGGCUCAGAAGAUAAAUAUUUGCUGAAGAUCACUGUGCUUAUUAGAUGGGUGUUACUGAUUCUUACCUCAGAGAAGAGAAUGUCAUGGAGACAAAAUGACCUGCUUAGAGUUCUGCACCCCCCAGCAUGGAGAGCAGAGCGCAAAGAUUUCUUCCGGACUCCCACAUUCCCCUUGGAAUCCAAGAACUGGUCUACUGUCACAACACUUUAGUACCCUCUUGUAAGCCUGUGGACAAAUCCUCUGAUGCCUUGAUACCUCGGUUUUCCCCCACUAUAAAUGGGAAGAUAAAUUCACUAGAAACAGUACUUACCUUGCAGUGUCAUUAUGAGAAUUUCAUGAGACAAUGCAAUAUAAAGCUCCUAGCACAGUUCCAGGCACCAUUGUAAGCACUGAACAAAUGAAAGCUGUUGUCAUUAGGAUCUCAAGAAAUGACAGCUGAGGCAAAUGUGGAUUAGACUGCAUUCAGCAUUCUUAGCUGCAAGCAACAGAAGCUGACGCUGGUUUAAAGAAUAGGAAAGGAAGUUAAUUAAAAUGACAUUGGGUAGCUUGUGGAACUGGGAGGACUAGAGAGCUCAGUCUAAGUUCUAGUGACAAAGCUUCAAAUCAUACAUGAGGAAAAUGCCCCUCUGCAGGAGGAACGUAAUCCUGCAAUCACUGCUUCCCCUGAAGCCAGAUGCCUCUACUGCUGCCCUUCCCAGCAGUGAUGGAGCCUGGAUCACAUACCUGGCUUUAGUUGUAAAGGAGGCUGGAGAGAAAAUGCUCUGCUCUAUGUAACUGUCUUGAAAGUGGCCCACACAUAGCAAAGCCAUUCAAAAGCGGGUGAGCAGCAUGAAAGCAUCCAGAAGGAUUCUUGCUUUGCAUGAGGGAGAACUCUUGCUCCCAGAGUGUGAGACCAGCAGGGGCAUUUUCCUCAUGUGUGAUUAGAAGCUUUGUCACUAGAAGCUUAGACUGAGUAGGACACCUCUGAGUGUGAAUGUCCUACCUGAGUUCUGCCUCAUGCAAAGCAAGAAUCCCUCUGGAGGGAUUGACACCACAGCCUCUUCCACAAUGUCUCCAAACAACUUUACUGGGCAGCAUUCCACUCCUUGACAAACGGGAGAGGUGCAUUCUACCUUCUCUCCUGCAUGAGCCUAGACUAAUAUGGAAUUUGGGAGUGUUGAUCAUUGUACUUUGUGCUCCUAGAGAUAAGGGUCAUCAUAAAGCAUCUCAGAGUCUCACUGUAGAUCCACAGUUCCAUUUCUUUAUGGAUCCCUUACCCCUACUUUGCCAAAUUCUAUGCAGAUAGCAAUAAUAAUUCAGACAGGGCUUCCUCACUGAAGGAGUUUGUGCUCUAUAUAGUUAAUAAGCUAGAGAUAAUGAAAAAAAAAAAAACUCAACUUGAACUUUGGGUAAGAGAAACUUUUCAGACCAACGAUCAUUACCAAUAACAGCUUCCACGCAUGACCCUGCCCGGAGAUUGGGGCCUGCACUACUGUUUCCAGGAAACACAUUCUUUUGAAUUUUUUUAUUUUCUUUGUAGAGAUGGGGAUCUCACUCUGUUGCCCAGGCUGGUCUCAAACUCCUGGCUUCAAGCAAUCCUCCUGCUUCGGCCUCCCAAACUUCUGGGAUUACAGAUAUGAGCCACCACGGCUGGCUGACAGGCACCAAAUUCUAGGAGAGGACUUGAAUAGAGUAGGCAUCUGUCUCUCCCCAUUCCUUUCAGGGACAGAGCUCUCCUGGUUGGGAGAAAGGGAGAGGGAGAGGGAGGAGGAUGAAUAGUGAAGCACCAAACCUCAGAAUUAAGGCCUUUUUCUUUUCUUUCUUUCUUUCUUUUUUUUUUUUGAGAUGGAGUUUCGCUCUUGUUGCCCAGGCUGGAGUGCAAUGGCACAAUCUCGGCUCACCGCAACCUCUGCCUCCCAGGUUCAAGCGAUUCUCCUGCCUCAGCCUCCCGAGUAGCUGGGAUUACAGGCAUGCGCCACCACACCCAGUUAACUUUUUUGUAUUUUUAGAGACGGGGUUUCUCCAUGUUGGUCAAGCUGGUCUCGAACUCCCGACCUCAGGUGCUCUGCCCGACUUAGCCUCCCAAAGUGCUAGGAUUACAGGCGUGAGCCACCAUGCCCAGCCAGAAUCAGGGCCUUUUUAAAACUUCAGUGUCUUGUCUUUACCCUUCAUGGUGCCUAGAAAAGCAUCUGGCUCAUAGGUGUUCAGUGAAUGAUUGUUUCAUUAGUGAAGAAAUUCCCUUUGGAAAUCUCAUAGGAAACUUACCCUCUCCAACCCUUCACCUGUGCAUUAUUCCAGCUCCCAAGGAGGCAGCAGAAACUGGGGUAAUCACAACGGUCAACAGCAGCAAAGGCAGCACUUUCUGAUUUACUUGACUGCUAUGGAUGCCACCUCUCUCCACGCCUCAGUUUAAUAUCUGUAAGUUUGGUCAGUAUCUCAUUCAAGAACAUUGCAUUUACUCUGGUACUUAAAGAUGAAAAAUCAACAUUUACAAAGCAGAUCCAUUGUCAACCUAAAUAACAAACAAAGAGAGUCUCUAUAAAAGAAAAGAAUAUUUAUUUGGGAAUAGAGCAUUGCAUAGGAAUAUGCCUGCCUUAGUAAUGCAUGUAUUCAGGGAGGUAGAGGAAGACAAAGGUUUUUAACAGAAAAAAUGUGGAGAAUUACAUAAUUGUUUUGAAAUAAUUAUCCUUGGCUAUAAAGAUCAAUAACAAGGGUGAUGCGAGUCCAAGGUUGGACAGGCAGUUGCUGGGCAGAUGUCUUUGCAGAAGUCUUUUUUGUGUAAGGUUGUAAUGGCUUUUGUAGGAGGUUGUGGCUUUUGCAAUCUUUUGUGAUAGCUUUUGUUACCAGGCAUACAAGCAUGAGAAUGCUCUCUUCAGGGCCUUCCCUAGCUCUAUUUAUCAGGGGUUUCUUGUUAGUGAUUCCAUUUUGAUUCUGACAACUUUCAUGGACAUUAUCUCAUUUAAUCUCACAGUCAUUCCAUGACUCUAUCCCCAUUUUGUGAAUGAAGUAACUGAGGUCUGGAGAGGUCAACUAACUGGUCAAGGUCAUAGAACUUGAAAAUUUUCAUUGUCUUGGGUCUCUAAUACUGGGGCUGACCAUUCUCCCAGGCAAUGUUGAGUGAGUUGGCCCAGGUGAGUCGGCUCCUCUGCAAUUGUGUCUCCUCAACUAGUUUGAACAACACAGGCCUGUGAGCCAGUCCCAUAAAGUGGCUAGGGGUUCCCUUCUCCCCAUUUCCCCUCAUCAACAGGAGGACUUGUCUGUGUGCCUUCAGACACCACACAGUAAAUCAACUGCCACAUUCAUUCUGGACCAUCAGUAUUUUGCCCCAGGAGAAAGUCAGAGGCAAGCACACUAAUAUCUCAUUGAUAUUUUCAAUUGCCAAAGGGGAAGUGAGAUGAAUCUAAUCCCAUCUGUCAAGGUGGAGAAGAGCUGAUUCGAAAGCAGCAUAGAUUACUUUAAGGAGAUGACAGUUUAUCACUCUCUGGACAAGGGAAUAUGAAAUGAGGACUAACCUCCUUUAUGAGUUGGUAAAAACAUUGAUCAGCAAAGACAAUGUCUGGGGAAAUGAACAGCAAGUUCUCUGGCCCUUUUUCCACUUUUCCUUUCCCCGAGACUUUAUGUUAUAUAUACACACUCACACAAACAGGACAGAAUCCACCUCCUGCCCCUCAAGAAAUAGUUAACAUUUGUUGAGGAUUAAUUAUUGCCAGGCUCUGUACUCCAUGUUUUAUAUUUACUAUCCAGAAGCCUUAAUUGUUAAAUGAGGUAAGUGUUAUUAUUAGAACCUUUGUACAGAUGUGGAAACUGAGGUGUAUAGAGGUUGACUUGCCCAAGGUUACCCAGCUAGUGAAGAAUGAAAUCAGAUGCAGUCCAGCCAACGCUUGGCCUGCCGUCAGUCACACGCAGUACACGUAGAUCAGUCAGCCUGGAAAGCCACCUAGACAGCCCUGCUUCACUCCAUCCUUGGUCAGCACCUUAGAGAGCCCUGCUGACCCCAAGAGGAUGUGCCUUUUACGGGUUGUAGAGGCUGAACCACAGCUGAGGGGCUGGAAUGAGUGGGGGCCUCAGACAGGGUGUCUGGAGAGCUGAGGCUCAAGGAAGGGUGGAGGGGGUGCUGAAGCUGAAGGCCGUGGGUCUUGCCAGCAAGUGGGGCUCAGUGAGCCGAGGUGCCUCUCAGUUACUUCCAUGUGUGAAUUUCCGGUGGAGGACAGUGAUGGGCUCUGGGCCCUUGGAAACCGGGACAUCCAGCGUGUCCAGCCACAGUGCAGGCUGCCCUGGCUGCUGAGAGUCUCAGAAAAUGCCACUGUCAUGGGUUAGGAAGGCCUGGGGACCACAACAAUGUGACUUCAAAAAACCCAAGAAGGAAUGUGCACACCUGAGAUGCUCAGAAUGCAUGUGUCAGUGUUCAGUUCUGACUCCUUGCUUCAGCCAGGGACAGAAGAACCUUCUACAGUAAAGAACCACAAGAGAGGGCUUUGCUGCCAGCCUCAGCCAGGGACACUUGGCGGCCAAAGCAAAGGUCACUCCAGGGCUGCAGAUUUCAGCCUCUGCGGCCAGAAACAAGCUUCCCAAUUAAUAAUACUCUGGAUCGGACAGAGAUGGCUGCUCUGUCUCAGGCGUGUUUGCCGUUGAUCCCUGUGAUUGAUGCUGAUAACAUUAAGAGUCUGUCAGGGUGAUAUUUCAUGAAUGUCUCAUGUGAUGGGAUGAUACAGUCGGGAAAUGCAAUUCCCUAGCUCAGGCAGAAUCAGAGAUGACCCAAAGUGCUGAUGGAAAGGCUGAGGCCCUUUCCAGCCUCUGGCAGGGUAGGGAAAGCGGGUGAGGUGGGGGCUUGGGAGGGGCUGGGCUGACCUAGAGCUGUAACAGGGGUCUCUCAUGAAGGGCUGUGAAGAGAAACAGUAUGUGAGAGAGGCAAGAAACUUUUCUCUGGGUUUCCUCAUGUAGAAUGAUUCCAUCUGUGUAGGCCAUGAAGGAGUCCAGGGAAGUUCACCCCAAAAUGUUGAAACCACCUUUGCAAAGAUUAUGACAGUGAGAGAAGCCUGGCAUGGCUGACUCUAUCUUGCUUCUAGCCUCACAGGCUGGCUGUUCUGUCUCAUUCCUGGGCAUAGGCCAAGCUAAUCUUGGGAGGGAUUUAUGGUUUAACUUUGAAGCCAGGAUCAUAAUUGUCCCUCCCUAAAACUGACCCCUUUCUUGUUCAGGGACUGAAACUGCCUUUGUAAGACUAAUGAAAGGCCACAAAAUUAGGAUUAUGGAAGGGGCCUGAAUUCUGAUAAGAUGUAGGCAUAGCUUGCCUUUCUGUCAUCGUUUAUUGCACUGGCACUCACAAGAUUUGUAACUUCCCCAAUUGGUCCCAUAGAUAACAUCACUAUUGUAGAACCUCAGAUUGGUCUUUUGAGAUCUUUUUCAGACUUUGGUAUUCUGGUGACUGACUCCACCCAGAUCCCAUGACUCAUGACUCAGCUGGUCCUGUGGUUCUUACCCAGUCUGACACAGCACCAGAGGACCGUUUUCCACACUUCUAUCUAUGAUUUCAUCCCCAACCAAUCAGCACCACCCAUUCCCUAGCCCCCUGCCCACCAAAUUGAUAUCCAUAAAAACCCUAACCUCUGAGUUCUCAGAGAAACUGAUUGGAGUAAUAAACUCCUGUCUUCUGUGUGGCUAGCCUUAUGUUAAUUAAACUCUUUCUUAGGGCAGUACUGCUGUCAGUGAAUCAGCUUUAUCUGUGCAGUGGGCAAGAAGGACCCACUGGGUGACUACAAUAUGGCACUUUGGUAUGUUGGUUAUUUUAAGUUAGAGGCCUUUGAUGCUGGAAGAAGCUUUACUCUGAUAUCUCCUUAUCUACCACAAGACUGGAUCUGCCAAAGAGAACACAAUUGCGUUCCAUUCCCUUCCUGAAAUCUCAUUAUCUAUGGCAGAAAAGAAGACUGGGGAAUGUAAUACACAGUAUUACACAGUAAUGUAACAUACUACACAGUAUUUACACAAAACAUGUAACACAGAAUGUACUACACAGUAUUUUCACAAAACAAUAUCUGUCUCUCCAACUCAUUCAAAUUCUAAAGAGUCAUUUACACGUCAAUUUGUGUCUUCUACGCCCAUUCAUUCUCCCUAAGAAUCAUUUACUACUCCUCAAAAGAAUUACCAACAUUCUCCAUCUCCCACUCCCCUAUGAGGAAGGGUAUAUAAGUUUCUGUCUGGAUCUCAUUAGAUGACUGUGUGAUCGUGCUUCUAUGAUCCCUACCCCACAUGUUAAAUGAAUUUUGUAUGCCUUUUUCUUUUAUCAAUCUGCCUUUUGUUAGGGUAUUUUCAGUGGACCUUCAGAAGGCAAAGGGGGAGCUUUCCUUCUUUGACCCUACAGCUAUUAGACUUGAUUGAGUAAGACACACAAUAAUGAAAGUAAAUAAGAAGAAAAACAUUCAUCCUGCUGUCUCCAGAGUUUGAAAUGUCUGCCUCAAACUUCGAUUUCUAUCUACCAAAAAUUCAUGCAUUAAUCAUAAGGCCGAUCUCAAAAGUGAAUUUUUUUUUUUUUUUGAGAAGGAGUCUCACUCUGUUGCCUAGGCUGGAGUGCAGUGGCACAAUCUCAGCUCACUGCAACCUCUGCCUCCUGGGUUCAAGCGAUUCUCCUGCCUCAGCCUCCCAAGUAGCUGGGACUACAGGCACGUGCCGCCAAGCCUGGCUAAUUUUUAUAUUUUUAGUACAGACGGGGUUUCACCAUAUUGGCCAGGCUGGUCUCAAACUCCUGACCUCAAGUGAUCCACCCACCUCUGCCUCCCAAAGUGCUGGGAUUACAGGCGUGAGCCACCGCGCCUGGACGUGAAAAGUUUUUUGAAUUCCCCCAUUAGAAAUGAUCUUCACCCUGACUCCCAUAACACUUUGUACAUUACUGUAAAAGCAUAAUAUUCAAAUAUUUACAAUAUACCUCCUUCAAAUAUAAAAUGGACACAUGCCGAAGACUUAGCAACUCAUGAAGGAGGGAACCAAUAAUGUAGUUAAGCUAAUUCAAAGAGCAUUUUGAGGAAAUGAAUACUUAUGGUCAUUUAAAAGGAAAUGUUAAAAUUUCUAGGUUAAAAAUAAAACUUGCCAUUGCAUAUAUGGUCAAAUGAUUUUUGACAAGGGUGCCAAGACCAUUCCAUGGGGAAAACACAGUCUUUUCAACAAAUCGUGUUGGGAAAACUAGAUAUCCAUGUUCAAAAGAAUGAACCCUUACCUUACCUUCCACCAUAUACAAAAAUUAACUCAAAAUGGAUCAAAGACUUAAGCAUAAGAGCUAAAAUUAUAAAAUUCUUAGAAGAAAACAUAGGGAAAAAGGUCCAUGGUAUUAUAUUUGACAAUGACUUUUUUUUUUUUUUUUGAGGCAAGAUUUCACUCUGUCACCCUGGCUGGAGUUCAAUGCAGUGGCACAAUCUCAGCUCACUGCAACCUCCACCUUUCAGGCUCAAGCAAUCCCCCUACCUCAGCCCCUAAGUAGCUGAGACUACAGGCAUGCACCACCAAGCACAGCUAAUUUUUGUAUUUUUGUACAGAGUUUCGCCAUGUUGCCCAGGCUGGUCUCGAACUCCUGAGCUCAAGCUAUUCACCUGCCUCAGCCUCCCAAAGUGUUGGGAUUACAGGUGUGAGCCACUGUGCCCAGCCCUGACCCCCACAUUUUUAAACAAAGCUUCUCUUCCAUAAUCAAUUGCAAAUCAGAAGAUCUUUGAAUCUAUCUGCAGCCUGCAAGCCCCCUAUUCAAGACAUCCCACCCUUUUAAACUUAAGCCAAUGUGUAACCUCCUGGCAAUCAAUUUUGCAAUUUAUGAUUUUGCCUGUAGCUUCUGCUGUUCUGAAAUUUAUUCCUGCCUCUAAAAAUCCUUGCCGGCAAGCCACUGGGGAGGCUAGGUUUUGAGCACUUAGCUGUCUGGUCUUCCUUACUUAGUGCUCUGCAAUAAACACCUUCCUUUCUAUCACCACAAAAUCCUGGGUGUGGGUAUCUGGUUUUACUGUGUUGGGUGAGCAGACCUCAGUUUGGUUCUGUUACAAGUCCCUGCUCCAUCUCACUUGCUACAACAUGAAUGAAACUUGAGGACAUUAUGCAAAAUGAAAUAAGCCAGUCACAAAAAGACAAAUACUGUAUUAUUCCACUUAUAUGAGGUACUUAUGAUAGACAAAAUCAUCAAGACAGAAGGUAUGAUGGUUGCCAGGGGUUGAGGGAAGACAAAAUAGGGAGUUAUUGUUUAAUGGUUGAGAAGUUUCAGUUUUGCAAGAUGAAAAGUGUUCUGGAGAUGGAUGGUGGUGAUGGUUGCAUGACAUAAAUGUGCUUAAUACCACUGAACUGUUCUUAACUCCGCUGAAAUAUGGUUAAGAUGGCCCGGGUGCAGUGGCUCAUGCCUGUAAUCCUAACACUUUGGAACGCCGAGGCGGGCAGAUCACCUGAGAUCAGGAGUUCGAGACCAGCCUGACCAAUAUGGCGAAACCCAGUCUCCACUAAAAAUACAAAAAUUAGCGAGGUGUGGUGGUGCGCACCUGUAAUUCAAGCCACUUGGGAGGCUGAGGCAGGAGAAUUUUCUGAAUCCAGGAUGCAGAGGUUGCAGUGUACUGAGAUCGCACCACUGCACUCCAGCCUGAGCAACAGAGCAAGACUCCAUCUCAAAAAAAAAAAAAAGGUUAAGAUGGUAAACUUUGUACCAAUUAAAAAACAAAGCUGGCUAACACCCUACAGGGCA
rnacentral:lncRNA from 1 species